rnacentral:rRNA from 1 species
AUUGAACGCUGGCGGAAUGCUUUACACAUGCAAGUCGAACGGCAGCACGGGGCAACCUGGUGGCGAGUGGCGAACGGGUGAGUAAUACAUCGGAACGUGCCCAAUCGCGGGGGAUAACGUAGCGAAAGCUACGCUAAUACCGCAUACGAUCUACGGAUGAAAGCGGGGGAUCGCAAGACCUCGCGCGAAUGGAGCGGCCGAUGGCAGAUUAGGUAGUUGGUGGGGUAAAGGCUCACCAAGCCGACGAUCUGUAGCUGGUCUGAGAGGACGACCAGCCACACUGGGACUGAGACACGGCCCAGACGCCUACGGGAGGCAGCAGUGGGGAAUUUUGGACAAUGGGCGCAAGCCUGAUCCAGCCAUUCCGCGUGCAGGAUGAAGGCCUUCGGGUUGUAAACUGCUUUUGUACGGAACGAAAAGGCUCUGGUUAAUACCCGGGGCUCAUGACGGUACCGUAAGAAUAAGCACCGGCUAACUACGUGCCAGCCGCCGCCGUAACAC